rnacentral:tRNA from 1 species
AAGAAUAUCGUACAAUGGUAGUACAAUGAUCUCCAAAGUCAUUAAUGUUGUUCGAUUCCAGCUGUUCUUG